ensembl:lncRNA
UCAGAACCACAUCAGGGCCAGAACUGGCCCACAUCAGAGCCACAUCAGGGCCUGAUCUGUUUCAGACUGACAGACUCUCUUAUUUGUGAAAGACUGGGUGGUAACGUGCCUGAAGAUUAGUCCGUAGAUUAUUAUACAACAGUAAGAGAUGCCUGAGCCUGAAAAUUCUGCUGCCAAAAAUGAUGCCAAUCGACAGAGUGGCAGUGGCGGAGGUCUAAUGGAGGAAAUGAACGCCCUGCUGGCGCGAAGGUAAGAGCGCUCGUCAGUCCUCCGGAACAGCCAGAGAGAACCCUCUGAGUGAUUCUGAUCUAGAACUUAAUAUUGGUUCUUAGAAUGCCAGAGCAAGGAGUUCCUCUAGCCAACAACACAGACGGAAAGCGUGUGAAACGCCAGAGAGGAAAGAUGAGGACGGC